UACAGAGGUCCCCAAGCGUUGUUCGGAUUCACUGGGCGUAAAGGGUGCGUAGGCGGUCGGGUAAGUCUGAUGUGAAAUCUCACAGCUUAACUGUGAAACUGCAUUGGAUACUAUUCGGCUAGAGAGUUGGAGGGGGGACUGGAAUUCUUGGUGUAGCAGUGAAAUGCGUAGAUAUCAAGAGGAACACCAGUGGCGAAGGCGAGUCCCUGGACAACUUCUGACGCUGAGGCACGAAAGCUAGGGGAGCAAACAGG
rnacentral:rRNA from 1 species